ensembl:lncRNA
GUCCGACUUGUCAGUAUCACCUCAACUUACCAGGUAUUUCUCAACUUUACACUUUUCUUCGGCCUUACUCAGAAAGUUUACAAAUUCGAAUUCAACCUUUCAGAAAACAUUUACUGAGCAUCAGUUUUAUGCCACGAAUUGUGCUGGGGCUGCAGAUAUAAGGAUGACUCAGAGACAGACUUUAGGUUUCAGGUUACAGUCAAGACAGGAAGACAGGCAGCUGGACAGAUCACUUCAAUGCAAUGUGAUAUAUGCUAAGGCAGAGAAAUGCACGAGGAGCUCGUAGAGAACACAGAAGAGGCAUCCAACCCAGCCUGUAGAUCAGGAAAUGCUGCCAGGAGAAGGUGACUCCAGAGAGGCAUCUUGAUGGGUGGAUUCUUUACCACUGAGCCACUGGGAAACCCUCACUGAUGUUCAGCCAGAGGAGAUGCCAAACUCCCUCAACACAGCAAUCCUAUAUGACAAAGACUUGUCCUGUUCAGAAAGCCUGCAGUGCCCAGGAUGAGAAGAAGGGUAUCUGAUCUCUUUUGCAGCUCCUAAUUUUGUCUUCUGUAAAUUUUCUUCUUCUGUUUAUCACCAGGCAUCCUGCCAGCCAAGCUGCCUGAAUAGCAGGUUAAAUGGUCACUCAACUGUCAUCGAACUCCUUUUCCCUUUCAGAAGCAACUGGAGGCAAGCCAACGCCCAUUACUGACCUAGUUCCACAGCAUCUUAAGAUUUCCACAGUGGUUUCUACUAGCCAAUUCUCAUGUCAACACAUGCUUCAAGUUAGUUUUGUUAUUAGUGGUUUGUAAGUGGAGAGACUCCAAUACAGAUAUAGAAACCUGUUCGUGUCUCCUACAUUUAAUUCAGAGUCAGACCAUAGGAAGCUAUUUUCAAAGUUACACUAAUUCUUUCAAAUCUCUAGGAAAUGUACUUAGUAGGGUGUCAUUUGUGAAGAAAUUUUAAUAUAAACAUCUCUUGCUUUUGGAAUUCAAAUACUUUUGUGGCCUAGUUAUGAAAAGUGAAUCUCCUCCACUGGUUUUUAUUGUAUUAUUGAAGAUACAUUCAAAUUUUUAAUCUCUUUAAAGAGAUGAAUGCAUUAUUGCCAUCUCUUUGAGCCUGUCUUUUCAAGUCUCUUACAUUUUAUCUUGUGUUAUUGGCCCUCUUUGAGGGACUGAGGUAUCUUUCUAAUCCUAAUAAAUUAAAAGUGUUUUGAGGGC